rnacentral:rRNA from 1 species
CAGUAGCCGCGGUAAUACAGAGGGUGCGAGCGUUAAUCGGAUUUACUGGGCGUAAAGCGUGCGUAGGCGGCUUCUUAAGUCGGAUGUGAAAUCCCUGAGCUUAACUUAGGAAUUGCAUUCGAUACUGGGAAGCUAGAGUAUGGGAGAGGAUGGUAGAAUUCCAGGUGUAGCGGUGAAAUGCGUAGAGAUCUGGAGGAAUACCGAUGGCGAAGGCAGCCAUCUGGCCUAAUACUGACGCUGAGGUGCGAAAGCAUGGGGAGCAAACAGGAUUAGAUACCCAAGUAGUCCCUGUCUCUUAUAC